GACGAACGCUGGCGGCGUGCUUUAGGCAUGCAAGUCGAACGCGAAAGCCCCUUCGGGGGUGAGUAGAGUGGCGAACGGGUGAGUAACACGUGGGUAACCUGCCCCUCGCAGGGGGAUAACCGGGGGAAACCCCGGCUAAUACCCCGUACGCUUGCUGGGGCGCAUGCUCCGGCCAGGAAAGGUAGCUUCGGCCAUCCGGCGAGGGAGGGGCCCGCGGCCCAUUAGCUAGUUGGGGGGGUAACGGCCCACCAAGGCGACGGUGGGUAGCUGGCCUGAGAGGGGGGUCAGCCACACGGGGACGGAGCCACGGCCCAGCCUCCUACGGGAGGCAGCAGCCAGGAAUCUUGCGCAAUGGGCGAAAGCCUGACGCAGCAACGCCGCGGGGGCGAUGAAGGCCUUCGGGUCGUAAAGCCCUGUUGUCGGGGACGAAGGGCGAAGGGUUAAUAGCCCCUAGCCUGACGGUACCCGACGAGGAAGCCCCGGCUAACUACGUG
rnacentral:rRNA from 1 species